AGGAAGGGUCGUACUAAUCUUAGGCUUCUAACCAAAGAGAUAGAGGUUAAACUCCUUUACCUUCCUU
rnacentral:tRNA from 1 species